CGAAACUCCGUCUCAAAAAAAAAAAAAAAAAAAAAAGAUUCAGGGAAGAUUAGCAUGAUGACUAUGCAAGGAUGACUUGCAAAUUUGUGAUGUGUUCCAUAUUUUA
rnacentral:snRNA from 1 species